rnacentral:rRNA from 1 species
GACGAACGCUGGCGGCGUGCUUAACACAUGCAAGUCGAACGGAAAGGCCCUGCUUUUGUGGGGUGCUCGAGUGGCGAACGGGUGAGUAACACGUGAGUAACCUGCCCUUGACUUUGGGAUAACUUCAGGAAACUGGGGCUAAUACCGGAUAGGGGCUCCUGCUGCAUGGUGGGGGUUGGAAAGUUUCGGCGGUUGGGGAUGGACUCACGGCUUAUCAGCUUGUUUGUGGGGUAGUGGCUUACCAAGGCUUUGACGGGUAGCCGGCCUGAGAGGGUGACCGGCCACAUUGGGACUGAGAUACGGCCCAGACUCCUACGGGAGGCAGCAGUGGGGAAUAUUGCACAAUGGGCGGAAGCCUGAUGCAGCAACGCCGCGUGCGGGAUGACGGCCUUCGGGUUGUAAACCGCUUUCGCCUGUGACGAAGCGUGAGUGACGGUAAUGGGUAAAGAAGCACCGGCUAACUACGUG